GGGCUUCCUUGAACCUGGACACACUGGGCCUCCUCUGGGACAGGAAGGGCUGGGGAUUAAACCCAGGGCCUCACGCAUGCAAGACUGUGCAAAGUGUCUUCAAUCAAGGCUACCCCUUCACCACAUUUACCAACUAUGUCCUAAAUGGAGUUUGUUCAGUGUGCCAGCGCAUGCCUAUAAUCCCAGCUACUCCAGAGGCUGAGACAGGAGGAUCGCAAGUCCCAGAAUUCAUACGAUUCCUCUAAAUCUUUGAUGGCUCCCCAUUGCAUGCAGAAGAGUUUAAGCUUCUUAAACAGCCAAUCAAAGGUCCUCCAUCAUAACCCCAGCUGGAUCAGACUCCCUGCUUCUCCCUGAGACUACAGCUUCUCAAUUCUGCACCGGUCCCUGCCAUGUCAUGGCUGGAGGGCUCUUCUCCAAGCCCUCACUCUACCACCCUCAAGGCUCAGCUGCACUCCAUUCUCCCAACCCAACUCUUGGGAAGCAGCCCUGACACCAUGGGUACAAGGGUGAGCAAGUUUCCUGGAUACCAAGUCAGGUUAACGUUACAGCCUGCCCUCGCCAGUGGACUGGAUCGCCACGCCUGCUUACCACAGUCCUGCAGGGGACAGGGACAGGCUGGGACUGGUUACCUGUUGCUGAGAGAUGACCUGAGACACAGAAGGCAUGAAGCAAUGUCCCCAAGGGUAUCCUCAGCUCCAGGAGCACUGCAGAAUGCACAUCCAGGGCCCCUCGUUUUGCAUUAGCAGAGCCCAGGUAGAUUUCUAUGAACAGGUGGCUGCUUACAGAAAUGCUGUCGCGAGCAGGAACUCUGUCUAUCCACCAGAGGAUCCAGCCAAAUGUACAUCAUCAGAGCCUGAAAGUCCUCAACGCUUCACAGGCUCAAUCUAGCCUUGCGAUGAAUCCUUAUGGAAGUCGAGGGGAGACGCUUUCCACUUUUGAA